rnacentral:sRNA from 1 species
AUCUAGCCCUGAUUGCAAUGGAAAUAAAAAUGAUUUUUUCAAUCAUUUUUAUUGUAAUGGAAAGCAGGAAUAUGG